AUAUAAUGAAAAUAAUAUAACAAAAAAAUGUACGCUAUUUCUAACACAAACUUUUAUCGAAAUUAUGAGACAGCAUGGAUUCUGUGCAAGUCAACAUCUAGAAGAAAUAAACAAGAGAUAAAUUGCAGUUAAAAUGGAAGAUAAUUAAUUAUUUCAUUAUGGAAAUUUUCUAAAUCACAGACUUACUUCUCUGAACUACCACAGUACUAAAUUUUACUCUUGAGUACACAAUGAAUUUUAGCAGCAUGCAAAAUAGAUAAAUCGCUUAGCAAUAUGAAACAUUAGGCUUCUAUAGACUUGAAGUACUAAACAAUAAAAAAUAACUGAAGUUCAAAAAAGCACAAUACGAAGAUGUGCAGAAUUUAUUCGACUCUCAACUAUCCUAAUAAUAAAAAUUAUAAAACUAUAGACAGGAUUUAUAAAAUUAAAUACAUAAAAGAUAUCAUACAAGAUUUGGAAAGUUAUGGCCCAGCUGGUUUAAUACACAUCGCUUUUUUAAGUAACAUAAUCCAAAGACCUAUUAGGAUAUGGAAUGCUAAUGGUAAUUUAAACAAAAUAAUUGGCAAAAAAAAAACGGGACAGCCUGUAGAUAUCGAAUAUCAUGCGAUCAAUUUGGAAGAAAUAGGUCAUUGGACGCUAAGAGGUGGAAAAGAUCCUGACAAUGUUAUCAGUGACUUAAAUAGCUGUCUUUUUUCGGCAAUCGGUUCUCAAAUCGGGCAGAAUCCAUUAAGAUUGCGUAAAUGGACACAACUAAAACUGAAAGUCAAUUUUCAGAAUUUAAUCAAAUGGAUAGAUAAGAUCCUUCAAUUGGAGGGAAGCAAUAAGAGAAUCUUGAUGAUUGGCGGGGCUCGUUACAUUGGCAAAACAAUUGAAGAUGCUAAAGCAAUAUUAGACAAAUCACAAAGAGCAGAAGGCUAUAACCAGUACUCUAUUUUCGUGAUAUAAACAAGAAACGUCAUAACAGAAUUCCAAGUUGGCCAUUCUAGAGGACACGCUUCAAAACCUACCGAGACUGAAUUUAACGAAGACAGAAUCGAGCAAUAUUCUCGAAGGUAUGAUAAGACUGGUUUUUUAUCAGACGGUGAUAUGGAUUUUGUCACUCAUUUGGCACUGAAAACAGAACAAGCUCAAGAUGCCAUAAUAAAACUCAAUAAGACUUCCCGUGACAGUAUAAAAUUAACGAUACCGAGAGACGACAUAGAAACACAGAGAUUCAUAGAAUGCUUCACAAGACUUGACUUGCCAAAAGCAACAAAAUGGUCGAAAGGAGUGAAAUCGAAGUGUCCUUCACGGGAAUUUAAAAGUAUAAUAUUAAUAAUAGGUCAUUUUUUAAACAAGACGGAUUGUAAGGAGGAAGAUGUUUGGAUAUGUACUACGUAUCCGAAGAUUCCUUCCUGCAAAAAGGGUAGAAAGUUCCCCACAGCACAGAAAGUUCCCGGGAGCUCAUAAAAUUUUUGUGAGCUUCAUUUAAGCUUAAAAAUGAACUCCUAUGUCCGCAUUUGUGAGUUCCCUGGGAGCUUUAUUUUCGCAGAGAGCUCUUAUUUUUUAAAAAUAAAAUGCUAUAAUUGUAUUGUUCUGUUAUCCAUCCAUUCUCUCGCUUAAUAAAGUUAUCCUGUUUUAAAUUAAAAAAUAUCUAGUCACUUAAAAUACAGGACCAUCUGGGAAGAGACGAUACGUAACAAUCACAAGACUUGUACAUGUACGCGGCCAUUCUAGAGGACACGCUAAGACUCGACAUUCCAUAGAGUCAAACAAUAUUCUCUACAUAGUCUAGAUGAUUUGAGCUCUCGUUGAGAUCGUAAAAUUUUUUGUGAUUAAAAGAAGCAUCACGCACAAAGAAGAUAAUUAGAUUUUCAAAGAAGAUUAAGAAAAUUAAGAUUACGAACUAUCCAAACUAUUAUGUAGCAAAAUACUAGCAAUUUAUCAGCAAAUUGAUGGCAAAUGAUCAAAUUUCUACUACAGAUCCUUAGCAAUCUAUGUUCACAUUAAGGUUCUGCGACAGAAUCUACUGAUAUACUACGCACCAGCAAUUUGAUGGCAAAAACCAAGUAAGUUUUACGCGCAGGCAAUUUGAUAGCAGACUAGCACAGUAGAAACUGAGUAGAACUUGUAGAACUGCCAAUCUGCUGGCAAAGCAUAUCAGUAAGCUUUGUCUUAUUUCUAGCGGCAGUUUGUAUCGAUGUCAGAUAUUACAGACCGUGUAAAAUUUGUUGCUCUUUUACCAUAAAAUUAGUAGCAUACUUUACUUAAAAUUUGCCUGUUGCAAACUUGAUCAUCUAGGUAGUUAACAAGAAAAAUAGCCACGUAUUUUAUAGACAAAAUCAAAUUCAUUAGAAGCUUUUAACUAUACUGUCUGGACUUU